GCCAGUUGUCAAGGAUACGAAGUAGAGUGAGCCAAUCCCAAAUUCUGAUCCUGGGUCGGUUCUAUCUAUUUAGUACAUGAUGGUUGUGAUGAGGAAUGGGGUUGCAUGAACUGAUCCUGGAUUGGCUCUUGGGGUUGAACGUAAACUGCAUACAAUCAUACCGGAAGAGGUGACUGCCGGCAGUUUGAAAUGACAUCACAAUUCAUUGAAACAUUGUUAUUGGCAAUAAUAACUUCAUCGACUCCAGCUCGAGUUUGAUAAGGAGAUUAUUGUUUCUGCAAUAGAAGAGAGAACAACAGAAAGCAAUCAUAUGAACCUGGAAAAUAGAUUGAUGACCGCCCCCGAACGACCAGACCUGGACGAAAAAGACAUUCAGAUUGACAGCUGUGCAUAUGUCCAUUUGUAAGGACUUUUAUGUAAUGGAAAUUCAGGACGAUGCUCCGGAUCCCUCCCCGCUGUCCCGGGACACACCGGUCCCGGGGGGUCUGCGGGAGUCGCCCCUGGCCCCCGCCGCAGCCGAGACGGGGUGUCCCGCGCAGGCCAGCCGUCCAGCCGAUGC